UACAGAGGGUGCAAGCGUUGUUCGGAAUUAUUGGGCGUAAAGCGCGUGUAGGCGGCUUUGCAAGUCGGGUGUGAAAGCCCUCGGCUCAACCGAGGAAGUGCGCCCGAAACUGCAGAGCUUGAGUACCGGAGAGGAUGGCGGAAUUCCCCAAGUAGAGGUGAAAUUCGUAGAUAUGGGGAGGAACACCGGUGGCGAAGGCGCCACUCUGGGCCGAAACUGACGCUGAGAAGCGAAAG
rnacentral:rRNA from 1 species